UCACAUUGGGGGCAGCCAUUUGUGAAUAAUUAUCCAUCGACACAUUUUUUUGAUUGUAUUUGUUGUCUUCUUGAACUUGGAAUCAUCGUGGCUCCCAUUAUUAACAAUUGGUCAUAAUAACAUUCUUUCCACACCUUUGCUCGUACCAACGAUGCCUCUACCGUAGCUGGUCGAGCUUCUUUUACAAACAUUUUUAAUUUUGGUGGAUGCAAACUGUUAAUAAAUAUCGACAAUAUAAAUACAUCUAGCAUUUGAUUAUUUGGCUAUUUACAAAGUAUAAUCAUGACCCGGCCAU
rnacentral:lncRNA from 1 species